rnacentral:lncRNA from 1 species
UAAAAUUUAGGGAAUCGACUAGAAUAUUGUUCGGGUUUAAUCCCCAUAUGAAAACUAAAUUCUCCUUUAAUAAUAUAAUUAUACUUUCUGUUUAUCCCCGUGGACACACUAAAGUAUUCUUAUUGCACAUCUUACACGUUUACACUUGUUUAAUCUUGUCACUUUAAAUUUUCAUUGGAAUUCUCUUACUAUAUUCUUAAAUUCGUUCUUCUUAUUAUAAUUAUAUUCUUCUCCCAGGAUAACUACA